GAUGAACGCUGGCGGCGUGCCUAAUACAUGCAAGUCGAACGAUGAAGCCGGAGCUUGCUCUGGUGAAUUAGUGGCGAACGGGUGAGUAACACGUGAGUAACCUGCCCUUGACUCUGGGAUAACUGCGGGAAACUGUAGCUAAUACCGGAUACGACCCUCGGAGGCAUUUCCUGGGGGUGGAAAGAAUUUCGGUCAAGGAUGGACUCGCGGCCUAUCCGCUAGUUGGUGAGGUAAAGGCUCACCAAGGCGACGGCGGGUAGCCGGCCUGAGAGGGUGACCGGCCACACUGGGACUGAGACACGGCCCAGACUCCUACGGGAGGCAGCAGUGGGGAAUAUUUCACAAUGGGCGCAAGCCUGAUGCAGCAACGCCGCGUGAGGGAUGACGGCCUUCGGGUUGUAAACCUCUUUUAGCAGGGAAGAAGCGAAAGUGACGGUACCUGCAGAAAAAGCACCGGCUAACUACGUGCCAGCAGCCGCCGUAA
rnacentral:rRNA from 1 species